AUGAGGAGGUGGCUCCGGGCGGCCGUGACCCUGCUGGAGUCCGGGGGGGACCUCCAGCCCCCCGGGGGGUCCCUGCGCCUCCUCUGCCGAGGGUCUGGGUUCGAUUUUGGACGAACCAGUCUGAUGUGGGUUCGCCAGGGACCCGGGCAGGGCCUGGAGUGGGUCGCGUGGAUCUACUACAAUGGUGCCAGCACCAACUACGCGCCAUCGUUGAAGGGCCGGGUGACGAUCUCCAGGGACAACGGGCAGAGCUCGGUGACGCUGACCAUGAACAGCCUCAAGGACGAGGAUUCCGGAUCCUAUUUCUGUGCCAAAGAGUCUGGUGCUUACGUUGCUGACGAUCCUUCCCUCCAACCCUUGUCAGAUGAGAUUGGUCAGAAUUUGGUGUGA